rnacentral:rRNA from 1 species
AGAGUUUGAUCCUGGCUCAGAAUCAACGCUGGCGGCGCGCUUAACACAUGCAAGUCGCACGAGAAAGUGGAGCAAUCCAUGAGUAAAGUGGCGUACGGGUGAGUAACACGUGGAUCAUCUACCUCUUAGUGGGGAAUAACCCUGGGAAACCGGGGCUAAUACCGCAUAAGCCUGAGAAGGGAAAGCAGCAAUGCGCUGAGAGAGGAGUCCGCGGCCGAUUAGCUAGUUGGUAGGGUAAAGGCCUACCAAGGCAAUGAUCGGUAGCCGGCCUGAGAGGGCACACGGCCACACUGGCACUGAAACACGGGCCAGACUCCUACGGGAGGCAGCAGUGGGGAAUCUUGCACAAUGGAGGAAACUCUGAUGCAGCGACGCCGCGUGAGCGAUGAAGCCCUUCGGGGUGUAAAGCUCUUUCGACGGGAACGAUAAUGACGGUACCCGGAGAAGAAGCUGCGGCUAACUACGUGCCAGCAGCCGCGGUAAUACGUAGGCAGCAAGCGUUGUUCGGAAUUACUGGGCGUAAAGAGUGUGUAGGCGGUUCUCUAUGUUCGGUGUGAAAUCUCCCGGCUUAACUGGGAGGGUGCGCCGAAAACUGGAGGGCUUGAGUAUGGGAGAGGAAAGCGGAAUUCCUGGUGUAGCGGUGAAAUGCGUAGAUAUCAGGAGGAACACCUGCGGUGUAGACGGCUUUCUGGACCAUCACUGACGCUGAGACACGAAAGCGUGGGUAGCAAACAGGAUUAGAUACCCUAGUAGUCC